AUUGAACGCUGGCGGCAGGCCUAACACAUGCAAGUCGAGCGGAUGACGGGAGCUUGCUCCUUGAUUCAGCGGCGGACGGGUGAGUAAUGCCUAGGAAUCUGCCUGGUAGUGGGGGACAACGCUUCGAAAGGAACGCUAAUACCGCAUACGUCCUACGGGAGAAAGCAGGGGACCUUCGGGCCUUGCGCUAUCAGAUGAGCCUAGGUCGGAUUAGCUAGUUGGUGGGGUAAUGGCUCACCAAGGCGACGAUCCGUAACUGGUCUGAGAGGAUGAUCAGUCACACUGGAACUGAGACACGGGCCAGACUCCUACGGGAGGCAGCAGUGGGGAAUAUUGGACAAUGGGCGCAAGCCUGAUCCAGCCAUGCCGCGUGUGUGAAGAAGGUCUUCGGAUUGUAAAGCACUUUAAGUUGGGAGGAAGGGCAGUAAGUUAAUACCUUGCUGUUUUGACGUUACCGACAGAAUAAGCACCGGCUAACUCUGUGCCAGCAGCCGCAGUAAGAC
rnacentral:rRNA from 1 species